rnacentral:lncRNA from 1 species
GUCUCUGUACUACAAGACACUCCCUUCAGAUGCAUCCUACAAACUGGAAGGAGUUAAUUUCCCAAACCUUAAAAUGGCUGCCAUAGGAUUGGGCUCAGGGGAAGAGAACCCAGAAGCCCAACAUGCUGGCAAAAGGGCCAUCAAACUCCAAAUAGUCAUGCAGCUGGAGCCUCUGACAAUGUCCCCUUCUGCUGGGAAACCUUAAAUAGACCUUUGAGGGAGCUCGGACUGUUGUUUCCCCAAAACAGCAUCCCCUGUCAGCAGGAAGCAGUUAAAAUGGGUCUUCGUCCUUAUCCUUAAUCUAACAAAAGUUUGAUGUACUUCUUUAGAAAGGGGAACGAGACAGCCAGGCGGGAGAGGGCUCCCCGGAAAAACUCCAACCAGCCUGCACAAUGGGGUGGAGCCACAGAAGUUCACACCCUUUGUGGGGAGGAGUUGGGCCCCUCCUCUUCCUGUGUGGAACCUGGGAUUCCAAGGCAGGCGGGAAGUGCUCUAGCAGGGACUCUGGCAUUGCAAGAGUCCCUGUUUGCUCCUUUUCUUCCUCUUUACCCAAAAAAACUUGUCUUACUCACCAUUAAAAUUGUCUGUGAGCCUGAAUUUUCAUGACCGUGGGACAAAGAACCCCAUUUUUAGCUGAAAGAAGAAAAAGUCCUGCAACGCAUGUUCUUGUGUGUUUCUGGAGUUUGUUCAUUUUUUUAGUUGCUGAAUAGGAUUCCAUUGUAUAGAAUUUGUCCAAUUUGUUUAUCCAUUUCCCUAUUAAGGGGUAUUUGGGUUGUUUCUAGUUUUGGGUGACU